UAGGGAAUCUUCCGCAAUGGGCGAAAGCCUGACGGAGCAACGCCGCGUGAGUGAUGAAGGUCUUCGGAUCGUAAAACUCUGUUAUUAGGGAAGAACAAAUGUGUAAGUAACUAUGCACGUCUUGACGGUACCUAAUCAGAAAGCCACGGCUAACUACGUGCCAGCAGCCGCGGUAAUACGUAGGUGGCAAGCGUUAUCCGGAAUUAUUGGGCGUAAAGCGCGCGUAGGCGGUUUUUUAAGUCUGAUGUGAAAGCCCACGGCUCAACCGUGUAGGGUCAUUGGAAACUGGAAAACUUGGUUGCAGAAGAGGAAAGUGGAAUUCCAUGUGUAGCGGUGAAAUGCGCAGAGAUAUGGAGGAACACCAGUGGCGAAGGCGACUUUCUGGUCUGUAACUGACGCUGAUGUGCGAAAGCGUGGGGAUCAAACAGG
rnacentral:rRNA from 1 species